UUUAAAUACCGGUACUGUACUUCAAGUAGGCGAUGGCAUUGCUCGUAUUUAUGGUCUUGAUGAAGUAAUGGCAGGUGAAUUAGUAGAAUUUGAAGAGGGUACGAUAGGCAUUGCUCUGAAUUUGGAAUCAAAUAAUGUCGGUGUUGUAUUAAUGGGUGACGGUUUGAUGAUACAAGAGGGGAGUUCUGUAAAAGCAACAGGAAGGAUUGCUCAGAUACCCGUAAGCGAGGCUUUUUUAGGUCGUGUUAUAAAUGCACUGGCUAAACCUAUUGAUGGUCGGGGCGAAAUUUCAUCUUCUGAAUCUCGAUUAAUUGAAUCUCCUGCUCCUGGUAUUAUUUCGAGACGUUCCGUAUACGAGCCUCUUCAAACAGGACUUAUUGCUAUUGAUUCUAUGAUCCCUAUAGGGCGUGGUCAGCGAGAAUUAAUUAUUGGGGACAGACAGACCGGUAAAACAGCAGUAGCCACAGAUACUAUUCUCAAUCAACAAGGGCAAAAUGUAGUAUGCGUUUAUGUAGCUAUCGGUCAAAAAGCAUCUUCUGUGGCUCAGGUGGUGACUGCUUUACAGGAAAGGGGAGCAAUGGAAUACACUAUUGUGGUAGCUGAAACGGCGGACUCCCCUGCUACAUUCAAUCAUUUAUGACGAUCCCUCCAAACAAGCGCAGGCUUAUCGCCAAAUGUCUCUUCUAUUACGAAGACCGCCGGGCCGCGAAGCUUAUCCGGGAGAUGUUUUUUAUUUACAUUCACGCCUUUUGGAAAGAGCCGCUAAAUCAAGUUCUCGUUUAGGUGAAGGAAGUAUGACUGCUUUACCAAUAGUUGAGACCCAAUCGGGAGAUGUUUCGGCUUAUAUUCCUACUAAUGUAAUUUCCAUUACAGAUGGACAAAUAUUCUUAUCUGCCGAUUUAUUUAAUGCUGGAAUCAGACCGGCCAUUAAUGUGGGUAUUUCUGUUUCCAGGGUAGGAUCCGCAGCUCAAAUUAAAGCCAUGAAACAAGUAGCUGGCAAAUCAAAGUUGGAAUUGGCACAAUUUGCAGAAUUAGAAGCCUUUGCACAAUUCGCUUCUGAUCUCGAUAAAGCUACUCAGAAUCAAUUGGCAAGAGGUCAGCGAUUACGUGAGUUGCUCAAACAAUCUCAAUCAUCUCCCCUUUCGGUGGAAGAACAGAUACUGACUAUUUAUACCGGAACGAACGGUUAUCUUGAUUCAUUAGAAAUCGGACAGGUAAGGAAAUUUCUUGUUGAGUUACGUACUUACUUAAAAACGAAUAAACCUCAGUUCCAAGAAAUCAUAUCAUCUACCAAGACAUUUACCGACGAAGCGGAAGCCCUUUUGAAAGAAGCUAUUCAGGAACAGAUGGAACGUUUUCUACUUCAGGAACAAGUAUAAAGAAAUACUUUGAAUCUUCAUCAAUCUUAAUUUAAUUAUAAAAUUAUAAUCUUUAUAUAAAUCUUUAGAAUUUAAAAUAUUAUAUAAUCAUUAUUAUUAUAUAAUCUUUUAAUCUUUAUAUUAUCUUUAUAAUUUAUAAUAUAUAUAAUAUAUUUUAUAUUAUGACUUGAUAUUAUAAUAUCAUGAC